CAUUCACGAUGUUGAACUUCUCAUGUUCCAUAUGAUCUGGGCAGGGUUCUCUUCUCAGAAGACCCUAAACUCUGCUUAACUACAAACCUGCAAAAAGACUGUGAGUUGGAGAAAGAAAGAAAGCAAAAGGCACACUGGAAUUUAAAUAACUCUUCUAAAUAGAGGAAUUUUCAAGGGCCACCCUCCCAUCCUUGUAUCCCCACCCUCCAAACACAAGAAAGAAGGAAGAAAAGAAAGGAAGAAAGAAAGAAAGAAAGACAGAAAGAAAGAAAGAAAGAA